GCCUUCGUAGUGUGGUAGUCAGCACGCUCGCUGCGUAACCGAGAGGUCCGUGGUUCGAUUCCCGGCGAAGGUG
rnacentral:tRNA from 1 species